GCCCGGCAGGCUCAGUCGGUAGAGCACGAGACUCUUGAUCUCAGGAUCGUGAGUUCAAGCCCCACGCUGGGCA